GCGCACCGUUGAUGGGCCAGCCUCAGGGAACCGAAGGCCCGUGACCCUAGCGCCUAGCUUCUUCCCAGACACCCCCGUUUAGCUCUCUCCUGCGCCGCCGGCAGUGAACUGCUCCGCCGUGAGAGAACCGAAGGGAGGGGAGGGAGGCGCACCGCAGGUUCCCAACUCCCCCCCCCCCCUUUUUCCCUUUCUCCUGCUCCGCCAUGGGAGAACCGAAGGGAGGGGAAGGAGGCGCACCGCAGGUUCCCAAACACCCCCCCGGUUCCCUUCCUCCUACGCCGGCGGCGGUGAACCGCUCCCCCAUGGGAGAACCGAAGGGAGGGGAGGGAGGCGCACCGCAGGUUCCCAAACACACCCCCCCCCCCCCCCCCAUUUUCCUUUAUCCUGCGCCGGCGGCGGCGAACUGCUCGCCAUGGGAGACCUGAACAGGGGCUGCACCUUGCCUGGCAAAUCCGCGCCGGCGGACGGUUGUCGACGGUUGGUGAGUGGUCCUCCUACCCUUCGUCCCAGGCUGGACGGUUUGCGGUCUCCGACCGAACUCGUCGGCGUCCUCCGCCCCAACACGGAGUCGUUGGCCGACGCUGUACCUGUGGGCGCCUCCAUCAGCGGAGUCUCGACUCCUCCUCCUCCUCCUUCAGCAACCGUACGCAGCACAGCGGUGCGUCUAGUUGACUCUGACGGCUCUGCAACGCGACGCCAAUUUCCUCUCCGGACGGACAAUGCAUACAAACGCGGGCCAUCUGUCACUUUUCCUGAUCAACCGUUGAUCAGCAAUGCAAUCAGUAGCAUGUUGUCGAGCCCGUCGACAACGGCGCUCUACUAUUACCCUGCCGGAGGAGGUCCAUGCCAUGUCGUUCGUAAAACAGUAACCCCAUGCCAUGCCAUAUCGAUUGAUCAACCACAUUAAUAUAGGUGAGCAUAAUGUUCAGAUCGAGUACCCGUGGAUCUCACAACAGGGUACCAUAUUCCUCAUCUAAAAGUUCCUCAAGUUUUUCAUUGUGGAUUGGGUGAUAAAUCCAUCCUAAAUAUACGUGGGUUCUGAUUUCUGAUUUGUGGAACU